GUGCUCCCUUCGGCAGCACAUCUACUUAAAUUGGAAGGAUACAGAAAGUUAGGAUGGCCCCUGCGCAAGGAUGACAUACAAAUUCAUGAAGCUUCCCAUAUUGGA